CCCUUAGAUGUUCUGGGCCGCACGCGCGCUACACUGAUGCAUUCAACAAGCCUAGCCUUGACCGAGAGGUCCGGGUAAUCUUUGAAACUGCAUCGUGAUGGGGCUAGAUAUUGCAAUUAUUAAUCUUCAACGAGGAAUGCCUAGUAAGCGUGAUUCAUCAAAUCGCGUUGAUUACGUCCCUGCCCUUUGUACACACCGCCCGUCGCUCCUACCGAUUGAAUGUGUUGGUGAGGAGCUCGGAUUGGCAGCAGUUGGUGGUUCGCCACCGGCUAUUGCUGAGAAGUCCUCCAAACCGCCCCAUUUAGAGGAAGGAGAAGUCGUAACA
rnacentral:rRNA from 1 species